GAUUGCAUACAUCCGACAACAGAUGUAUAAAUCACGCAUGGCCAAGGCCUAUAACUCAAAGGUCCGCCCUCGAUCCUUUCAAGUUGGAGAUUUAGUCCUCCGAAAAUUCGAAGCUUCUCACCCCAUCGGAAAACUCGAUCCAAAGUGGGAAGGACCAUAUAAAAUCACCAAAGUGGUCAACACUGGAGCAUAUCGCCUCGAGACCAAUGACGGACGCCCUAUACCCAGAACGUGGCAUAUAGGGAACCUCAAACGGUUAUACGCUUAAGGCUCCGCGGUCUUCCACGUCACUCGUCUCGCAAAACCGUCUCUACAUGCUUUGGAAACUUUCUACUACAUAACGAGGUGCGUGAACGUCCUACCUAAACUGGGGGGCUAGUAAAUUUACUUACAUCAGCAAUUCGUAUUCACAUCUCACCAUCUUAUUACAGAGUGAGAGUCAAUUACGAGAGGAUGCAUAUUGCUCAAUCAAUGGCCCAAAGAGCGAAGACACCCCAUACCACAUCGCCAAGGGUAACAAUACUUCCACUAGACUACAACACACGCAUGCUCUUGUUUACUCUUACUAACG